AUUGUUAGGGCUAUGGAAACCUGAUGGUUUGAGGGCAGACCACCAAGAAAAUUGUUACAUCACAUCCCCAGCUAGACCAGGCUUAGUUUGCUUAAUAAGAAAGGCAAUAUUUUUGUUGAAUUUCACAUUUUCUACCAAGUAAUGAAUUAACCUUUUUGAAAUCACAAAGGAGGUCACAGCAGGAAAAUGAAGCCAUAUCCUGUACAUGCUGGCUACCACAUAUGAACGGUCAGAGAGAUGGAGGGCAAUGCCUGGAGGAAGGAUGGGAAGAGGGAAUAUAAGAACAUUCAGUACUAAUGGAUUCCAAACUCCGUGUGAUAACCAGCCAGUCCUGGACCAGUUUGUCAUCUCAGUGUGGACUGAUUCUCUUUUGCAGGAAGUUAGUUCUGACUUCACCAGCUGGAUUGGAGGGCACCAGUGCCAUCCCUUGUCCUAUUGCUGUGGGGGACUUCUUCCAGCUUUUAGACAUGCAAGACUAAAUGUGAAUACCAUCUAUACAACAAAUCGUAAUUUAUUAUGUUCUCCAGAAACUGAUUUUGCAACGUUGCUAAACUAGCAGACUGGAAAGAUGCUCACAAUUCUCAGAUGGUAUGAAUGUUUCUCUGCAUUGGCAUCAGAGCUGCCACUGCUUGGCAUUCCAAGAACUUCCCAGCUGCAGGUUCAUCACUUUCUCCUCCCGGGAAAGGCAUGUGAGAUUCUGCACACAGAUAGGAAUGUCGUGCCAAAGAGCCUGAAGUCAUGCCAGUGGUGGAGUGCUGAUUGGAACUGACUGGGUUUGGAUGGCAUCUCUACUCAUCUGUAAUGGGAGCUCUGUCAAAAUAGGAUAAAUUUUGGAAAACUCUGGUGGCUUUUGGGUAAUGAAGUUAAUGAUAAUUGCCAACUUUUUUCAUGAAGUUUCUUGAACUUUGAUGAAUUUAGGAACAAUAAUAGUGAUUCUGGUCAUAUGUCACCUUGUUCUUAUGUUCUGUGAUUCUGAAGAAGCAAGAACUGACCACCAUCUACAUCAACUGAAACUUUUCUGGAAUCCACACAGUGCAAUAAUCCUUAGGAAAAGCUACCUGGGAUUCCGCUGUUACAAUAAGAAGGCCACCAAUACUCAACUGGAACCUUACAUAAUCCCAGUAAAAG
rnacentral:lncRNA from 1 species